UACGUAGGGUGCAAGCGUUGUCCGGAAUUAUUGGGCGUAAAGAGCUCGUAGGCGGUCUGUCGCGUCGGCUGUGAAAACCUGGGGCUUAACUCCGGGCCUGCAGCCGAUACGGGCAGACUAGAGUUCGGCAGGGGAGACUGGAAUUCCUGGUGUAGCGGUGAAAUGCGCAGAUAUCAGGAGGAACACCGGUGGCGAAGGCGGCCUGCUGGGCAGUGGCUGACGCUGAGGCGCGACAGCGUGGGGAGCAAACAGG
rnacentral:rRNA from 1 species